rnacentral:rRNA from 1 species
AACGUAGGUGGCGAGCGUUACCCGGAUUUACUGGGCGUAAAGCGCUUGUAGGUGGUUUGAUAAGUUGGAUGUGAAAUCUCCGGGCUUAACUUGGAGAGGCCAUUCAAUACUGUCAGGCUGGAGGAUAUUUGAGGGAAGUGGAAUUCCUGGUGUAGUAGUGAAAUGCGUAGAUAUCAGGAGGAACACCCGUGGCGAAGGCGGCUUCCUAAGAUAUUCCUGACACUGAGAAGCGACAGCUAGGGGAGCAAACAGG